AUAAAAUAAUUAUGUUUUUGAUAAUUUAUUUUAAAUUUGUUUUACAUAUAAAUUUUAGUAUGUAAUUUUAAUUAUUUAAAUAAUAAUUAAUUAAAAUAUUAAGUAGUAAUUUAUAUUAAAAAUUUAAGAAAUUAAGAUUUAGCAAUAUAAAAAUUAAUAACUAAUUUUGUGCCAGCAGUUGCGGUUAAACAAAGGUUAAAUUAAAUUAUUUCAGUUUAUAAUAAAUAAAUUUAUUAUUAAAAUAAAUAUUAAAUUAUUAGGUAAAAUUUUAAUUUAAUUAAAUUUUAUGUAAUAAUUAUGAUUUAAUAAAUUUUAAUAUAAACUAGGAUUAGAUACCCUAUUAUUAAAAAUUUAAUUAAUAAUACUAAAAUAGUAAAUAAUAAUUUAUUGAAACUUAAAUAAUAUGGCGGUAUUUUAGUUCAUUUAGAGGAAUCUGUCUAAUAAUUGAUAAUCCACGAAUAAAUUUACUUAAUUUAUAAUUUUGUAUAUCAUUGUUAAAAAAAUAUUUUUUAGUAAAAAUAAUAUUUUAAUUUUUAUAUAAAAGUUAAAUCAGAUCAAGAUGCAGAAUAUAAUUAAGAAUAUGAUGGAUUACAAAAAAUAUAUUUAAAUGAAUAAUUUUAUUGUAAGAUAAAUUUGAAGGUGGAUUUAAAUGUAAUUUUAAUUAAUUUAUUAAAAUGAUUAAUAAUUAAAAUAUGUACAUAUUGCCCGUCACUUUCAUUUAAAAAUUGAAAUAAGUCGUAACAAAGUAGAGGUACUGGAAAGUGUUUCUAGAAAGA
rnacentral:ncRNA from 1 species